rnacentral:lncRNA from 1 species
AAGUUAAAGUAGAGGAGUACUAUGCUUUUGAAAGUACAGAUACAUUCGUAAUUACAAGUUAUUUUUAAUAAUGAGAUAUUCAAUUCGACGAUCAGUUUCGUUAGACACAAUAUAUAUUAUUAAAAUUAUCUAGAAAUUAAAUUUUAUAAUUUUUUAACUCUAUUUGUCUAGUAAGCAAAUGGUCUCAAAAUAAACGGUUGAAAAUAAAAAUUUUAUAGAAAAUAGUGAUAAAAAAUUUACAGUUCAAAUCAGAAAUGUUGAUCUUGCUACUAAUGUUAAGUAAAAUUUUUUAUUAAAAUUUCAUGUUAUUUGAAUUGUUUUACCGUUGAACUUAAAAAUGUAUUACAUCGACUGUUAAAAUAACUAUUUUUUAGACUUUUUGAUCACUUAGUAAAUAAUUUCGAAAAAUUAUAAAAUCUUGUUUCUAAAUAGUUUUAAUAGUGUAGAUUAUCCCUAAUAGAGCCGAUUGUCGAAUCGGAUGUCUUAUCAUCGAAAAUAAUUUAUAAGUACAGAGGUAUUGAUACUUUUGAAAGCAGAAGAUAUAUA